GGGGACGUGGUGAAGCUUGGUUAUCACGCCGGUCUGUCACACCGGUGGCCGCGGGUUCAAAUCCCGUCGUCCCCG
rnacentral:tRNA from 1 species